rnacentral:rRNA from 1 species
GUGGGGAAUUUUGGACAAUGGGCGCAAGCCUGAUCCAGCAAUGCCGCGUGCAGGAAGAAGGCCUUCGGGUUGUAAACUGCUUUUGUACGGAACGAAACGGUCCGGGUUAAUACCCUGGGCUAAUGACGGUACCGUAAGAAUAAGCACCGGCUAACUACGUGCCAGCAGCCGCGGUAAUACGUAGGGUGCAAGCGUUAAUCGGAAUUACUGGGCGUCAAGCGUGCGCAGGCGGUUUUGUAAGACAGGCGUGAAAUCCCCGGGCUCAACCUGGGAAUUGCGCUUGUGACUGCAAGGCUGGAGUGCGGCAGAGGGGGAUGGAAUUCCGCGUGUAGCAGUGAAAUGCGUAGAUAUGCGGAGGAACACCGAUGGCGAAGGCAAUCCCCUGGGCCUGCACUGACGCUCAUGCACGAAAGCGUGGGGAGCAAACAGGAUUAGAAACCCGGGUAGUCC